rnacentral:misc_RNA from 1 species
GUUAUAAUCGGCAUUAUUGUGUAUUGGAUACUAAAAUUAGUUGAUUCCUCCUUUCCACUUUGUUUGGCACUUCCCUUAUUUUCUUGUUCCAAAAAGAAUUGCACAUUCUUAUAUCUCUUAAUGAGAAGUUUUUGUAGCCACACCAAUGUUAUAACAUGUUUACAACUUCAAAAAUUUAUAGCCACACAAAUUUUAUUCCAUAUUUAAGAUCACAAGUUGUUGCUG